ACUCCUACGGGAGGCAGCAGUGGGGAAUAUUGCACAAUGGGCGCAAGCCUGAUGCAGCCAUGCCGCGUGUGUGAAGAAGGCCUUCGGGUUGUAAAGCACUUUCAGUUGUGAGGAAGGUGGUGUCGUUAAUAGCGGCAUCAUUUGACGUUAGCAACAGAAGAAGCACCGGCUAACUCCGUGCCAGCAGCCGCGGUAAUACGGAGGGUGCGAGCGUUAAUCGGAAUUACUGGGCGUAAAAGCGCAUGCAGGUGGUUUGUUAAGUCAGAUGUGAAAGCCCGGGGCUCAACCUCGGAACUGCAUUUGAAACUGGCAGACUAGAGUACUGUAGAGGGGGGUAGAAUUUCAGGUGUAGCGGUGAAAUGCGUAGAGAUCUGAAGGAAUACGGUGGCGAAAGGCGGCCCCCUGGACAGAUACUGACACUCA
rnacentral:rRNA from 1 species